GGGAGGGGGAAACUAAUUUUCAGGGUCCCUACCUGGUCGGAGAUGCAGCUUUUCUCCGGGCUGCAGCUUCGACCCGUCCUCGCGGCCUACCAGCGCGCCUGGAGCGGCGUCUCCUGAGGGGACCGCCUGGAGCUUCGGCAUCGGCGGCGGCACCGACUCAGCAGCGGCGGCAGCACCGCCUCAGAAGGGGCGGCACCGACUCAGCAGCGGCAGCGGCGGCACUGGCUCAGAGGCGGCACUGACUCAGCAGCGGCGGCGGCGGCACCGGCUCAGAGGCGGCACCGGCUCUGUGGUGGCGGCACCAGCGACGGCACCGGUUCAGCAGCGGCAGCAUCAUCUUAGCAGCAGCAGCGGCGGCGGCACCGGCUGCAGUGGUACCAGCUCGGCAUCGGCACCAGCUCGGCCUCGGCGGAGCUGCGGGUCGGAGGGCGGUGGUGCAGCGCUGGAGCGCCAAUGCGGGGCUGGCGGUGACUUCGCUGAAACUCUGGGCUGCAGCUACAUCGGCAGCAAUGGAAUUGGACGUACCUAUGGACCAAAUCCUGGGGACAGCAGGAUGGUCAAAAGAGAAAACUUUUCAACUAUAUUACAAUAAAUAUAUUACAAUAAACCUGUGACAUUUGCAGAUUCCAUUUUAAGUUCUGUAUCAUGAUUUACCCCAUAAGAUAGGGGCUAUAAUUUUGUUUGUUAAUAAAUUCAUCAUGGU